UUUCCGCUUCCGGGGGAAAGGAGCUGCGACUUUGGCGCAGGGGCUCUCCUUUCAUAGAGGGGGAAAAAACCCCUUAAUUCACUCUGCUUGGAGAAAAGGAGAGCAUCCAUUUUGACUUCUCUCAAGGUCCUGCUCUCACCGGGAGAAAAGCAGGAUGUGGCACGAAGCUCGAAAACAUGAGCGGAAGCUGCGGGGGAUGAUGGUGGAUUACAAGAAAAGAGCGGAACGCCGGAGAGAGUAUUACGAAAAGAUAGUGAGUGUCUCUCUCCUUGGUUCGUUUUGGGAGAAUGCCUUGAUGUCUAACUGCCUCCCUCUUUCAGAAUUAAUACUCUCUAAGAAAUGGGCGUGAGAUGUUACAUUUUUCUUGCGAACAGAAUUUUAUGACAAAUGAAGAGCGAAAUCUACGUGGCCCAGGAUAAUCUGCGUCAGUCACGACUAAAAAAGGACACACAAUGUGGCAUCCUAUAAAUGCCACACACAGAACAGCCCA